CCUAAAAGUACAUAACUUUAAUGUGUAUGUGUAUGGAUGUUGUGUUGAUUUGUAGUUUAUUUGUUGAGUAUGGGUGUUAAUAAUAUGUACGAUAAUGUGUGACCAAAAUUUGCAUUAAAUGUAACAGUCAAUGAAUAUAUGUGCAGGACUUAUUCUUAUUAAGAUGAGCUGAUAAAAGGGAGGAUGGCAGAGACAGACUCACCGUAUGCGAGAGACGAGGCAGAGGUUGAAGCCGACUCUGGGAUGCAGCUGGAUAACGGUGCCAACAGCAAUGAGGAGAAUGGAGAUCCUGACACAGAGGGAGGCAUUGACGGGGCUCUCAACACUAACUAUGAUUCGUGUGAUGGAGCAAUACCGGUACAUCGUUGUGAACGUUGUGAGAAUUACGAAACACUCAGUCACUCGGCCCUGCUCGCGCACAUGACGCAGUGUCAGGGGCCGGCAGACGGUGACCCGCGCAAUCGCAAGAUGUUUGAAUGCGAUGUCUGCAACAUGAAAUUCUCCAAUGGUGCCAACAUGAGGCGCCACAAGAUGCGACACACAGGAGUCAAGCCCUACGAGUGUCGAGUGUGCCAAAAACGUUUCUUCAGGAAGGACCACCUCGCAGAACACUUUACCACUCACACCAAGACUCUGCCCUAUCACUGUCCAAUUUGUAAUCGAGGAUUCCAGCGGCAAAUAGCAAUGCGGGCGCACUUCCAGAAUGAACAUGUCGGUCAGCACGACAUGAUCAAGUCCUGUCCCCUGUGCAGUUAUAGAGCCAACUCUAUGAAGAGUUUGCGUGUCCACUUUUUUAACAGGCAUGGCAUAGACUUGGACAAUCCUGGUCCAUCUACAGGCAAUGGUACAGCAGAGAGCAGUGUGAGUGCAGGUGGUUGUAGUGACAGCGGAGACAGUACGGGGGCGAGGUCGGCAGACAAUGCCACCCCACCCAUGCACUUCCUUACUCCCCAUGUAGAAAUAUCCAUGACAGAUCCAGUACCAACUCACCCAACUCAAUACUCGCCCUCUCAGGUGAUAGAACAGUCAGCAGCAAAUUGCCUGACAGUGAAUGGUGGUGGACAGCUACCACAAGAGGGCAGCACUGCGGGAGAUUGUCCAGGAUCCCCUCAGUCGGCUGAUUCCAACUCCAACACUCCCUCCAGCAGUGUGCGGGUCGAGCAAGAUGUCACUCCUUCUGUGUCUCUCAUUCCCAUCAAGCAGGAGCCUGAAGACGAUAAGAGAUUGUCGGAACCCAUCCGUCUACAAGCUACGUCCAGUAGCUACUCGUCCACUCUCAUCAAGGUGUCACCGCUGAAGUCCCUGCUAAGAGAUGAUCUCAAGAGGCGAGGCACCGCAGUGACUCUGGGACGUGCCCGACCAGAUGGCUCACCUUCCACACCUCUUCCGGAGUCUAAUGGCAGCUCCUCCCCGGACUGGAGGUGUGCUCCACUCAAGCGUACUUCAGCUUCACUCCAGUGUGUCUUCUGUGGCAUCGGCUUUCCGGAUCAGACGCUUUACUUCUUGCAUAAAGGAUGCCACUCGGAGUCCAACCCCUGGAAAUGCAACAUCUGUGGCGAGCAGUGCUGCAACGUCUAUGACUUCAAUUCUCAUCUGCUCAGUAAAACACAUCAGUAAACCGAUUAUUGGUGAUUAUUUAUAUCUUUGUACAGGAGAAGUUGUGCUAAUAUCCAUUCUGAUGCUUUGGAAAAAAUCCAACUCCACUACAGAACGAGUUUGAAUCAAAAUUAAUUCUGGAAUAUUUUUUAUUCUUUAUCGUGAGACAUUUUUGGGAUUCUGUUCAUGAAUUUUAACAACUUUAUAAAGGAAUUACUUCAAAAUAAGUAACCAGCUACCACGAGGCCAGGUACGGACACAGAUCCCCCUCCUCUACCUCCUACGCCCUUGCACUUCCUAGCCUGUACCCAACACGACACUGAGCUCAGUAACUUUGUUUUUAGAGAACUUAUUGAAUAAUAUUAAAUGUAUUUAUUACAGUACAGAUCAUUGAAUAAUAAUAUUUCUUAAUAA
rnacentral:misc_RNA from 1 species